rnacentral:rRNA from 1 species
GUGCCAGCAGCCGCGGUAAGACGGAGGGUGCAAGCGUUGCUCGGAAUCAUUGGGCUUAAAGGGUGCGUAGGCGGCUUUUUAAGUCUGACGUGAAAGCCCAAGGCUCAGCCUUGGAAGUGCGCCAGAAACUGAAAGGCUAGAGUGCCGGAGGGGAGAGUGGAAUUCCUGGUGUAGCGGUGAAAUGCGUAGAUAUCAGGAGGAAUACCGGUGGCGAAAGCGACUCUCUGGACGGUAACUGACGCUGAGGCACGAAAGCGUGGGGAGCAAACAGGAUUAGAUACCCCUGUAGUCC